rnacentral:lncRNA from 1 species
CUAGAAAUGGAAGAGACAAACAAGGAGUUCCAUGGGAGAGGCUUAACUUGACUAGAUAUCAACUUGAUUGUUGUCCUGAUAUUUGCCUCUUAGGAAAAAAAAAUGGCUAGUAUUCUCUGUUGGUUUUCUUUCUUUGUUGGCAACUUAACAAAGUUGUAGCUUUCUGAGUUUUCUGUAGAACUGAUUUGUUCUCAUGAUUUACACAGUGUUUAACUUUGAUUAGCUAUAGCAUGAACUGCUUGUCAUUGCUAAAAGUAUCUUUCCUGCAUGCUACUCUUGGAUAGUUGGAACCAUUACUUUUGCGGUAACAUACAAAAAAGCUUUUCUUCAUUAUGCUGUUUUUAUAAUCUUUUGGUAAUUCUUUGUUGCUAAUUUCUAUUAUUUCUUUCAUUUUCCUGUGCAUUUUUGUGCAGUUAGUCCUCAAAGCAUUUGGAUGGAAAUUAUUCUAGUGUUGAUUUAAUUGUUCUAGCUGCUAACUUUGCCGGCUGCAGUACUUUUACUAACAGAGUACUGUGAGAGUGUCUCAAGUGAGACUGAGAAUGUUGGUCUUCCUAUGAUCUUGUUACAUGGCUUUGGAGCCUCAGUUUUCUCUUGGAAUUGGGUUAUGAAGCUGUUCGCUAAGGCAUUUAUCUUCUGGAAAUGGGGAAUCGAAAUCUGUGAAUCCGUACUCCAUGGCAUUUUUAGUGCUUGUUACCUUGUUUUUCAAGGAUUUUCUAGCAGCUAAGAAGGCCAUUAUAGAGGGCUGAGUCAUAUUUUGAAGCACCAGAACGUGUGGCUGCUCUAAUCCUUAUUUUUAUCACAAGAAAAAUUUGAG